ensembl:lncRNA
CCACGGGCUGCAUUCCCUGGGCUCCCUGUAGGCUGGAUCCCCGGUGGGGCUUAGUCAAUCGGAGGCAUUAACGUGAGGCUGGAAGGCAGAAGAGGAGAGAGGCUGGGUGUUUCUCCUCAGCUCCCCGCCUGCCCAGCACGCGGCCGCGUCCACACUCACCCUGCCGAAUUGUGCACUUGGUCUCAUCUGCCCCCCGUAGCUUACACUCUGAGUUUGAAUCCACAUUUGGCCUACGAGCCCCUCAUGUGGUUUUCCCAGUGCAGUUGGCAUCUGGAUGCCAUUCAGACGCCCCCAAUUGGGCCCAAGCCUCGCCACUCCCUGUGGCCCACCUCAAGGUCACUGUACAAUCUUUGGGCUCUGCUUGACCCCGCAGAACCCCGAGUCUGGGGCCUCUCGAUAAAGACAAGUGUAGAGGAGGACUUGCCACUGGCUAUUCAGGCAUAAAAACUGCUUGGAACGGGGAUAAAGCAAGUCUUACUUUUCCAACAAACUUACGCUGUUGAGUUUUAAUAAUAAACUUGGCGUGUUAUCAUGUAUAUUUUUGCCUGUCUGAAACAACCCUGCCUCCUGAAGCAAGUCUCUAGCUGCCGUGAAGACAGGAAGUACCCCAAGUCGGGGCUCUCACGCGGUGCAGCCAGUCCCUGGAAGCAGCACCCACUCUUGUGAGGUUAACCGUAGCCACCAAGCCCGGCCAGGCACGCUCUGGCCUUUAGCUGCAACAGUCGCAUCACAAAUGGCUAACUCAUGAACCCACACCGAGACGCACACGGGUCACUCUUUGUGAGAUGGUGGAGACCGCAGGUGGGCUCUUUCCAGGGAGACGCGAUUGUGUCGGAAGAUGGCAAAACACAUCCCGUUCGGCCCGUUCUGGAAAUUCUCCAGGGACAUCCGCCAGUUCCGGCAGUCCUCAGGGGGCCUGUGAGAGCCAGGAGGCUGUUAGCUUCCACAGGACCGGCCCAAGCAAGAGGCCUCUGCGCCGUUCUCUUACCCUGGCCAAAGUCGUGGAGGUUGAGGGCUCAGAGGCUGAGACUGGGGGAUAACAAGAUGCCCAGUGGCGGCCCUUCCACCGCAUUUUAAGCUGAUGGCAGUGAUCCUGGAUCUCAAACCUGGGGCCUCAACAAGGUUCUUCAAAUCAAGGACACUGAAGCGCGCGCGCCUGCGUUCCCACCAGGCUGCCAGAACGCCGUCAUGGACACACAUGUGGGUCAGCGGCACGUGGCUUUCAGAGUGAAUUCUUGGUAAGUCAGCUCUCUGCCUACUAGCGAUUAAAUUAUUCUGCUUGUCUGAAAGAUGCUUCCCAACAUAUUAACCAACAGGCUCUCUUGAUGUGACAUUUGGGUUCAUUUUUAUAUAAAUCCUGGAAACUGCUUUAAAAAAUUACCUCAAAGACCUUUUCUCCACCUGCCUCCAAGAACUCUUGUCUUACUGUGUUUUUCCCACAUCAGAUAAAAUUAAAGUAACUUGGAGGCUCAGAAAAUCAAGUUUCAGAACCACCAAAAAACCCCCCAAAAGAGCCACCAUAAGAGAUGGGUUGCAUUUCCCCAAAGUUCCGAGCUGAGUGGGGCUGUGAAAUGUCAGUUUUCAUAACCAGACCUUUGUCUCAGCCCCUGCCUUCCCACCCACCCGUCACCCCCAACUUCCAGUCACCUCCUCACGGUGCUGGUUUCGCUGCAGUCUCUGGGCCCACCCGGCCCGGGCUCAGAGGGAGGAGCUGGCUGCCUCCUGCCACCAAGCCUCCUGGCCCUUGCAGUCCAGAGAGCCACCUCCACAGACACCAGUGGCUCCCUUACUGCUCCUGGCACCCACCCAUUCCCCCCUCUGCUUGCUUUCCACGUGUUGGUUUCACCCAACUCUUUUGAUUAAAAGUCAUCCUUCACUGCACAAUUCUGGAAAAUGUAGCAACAAUCAAACCUGAUCUUGGGGAAAAAAAAAAAACAAACAUGGCAAUCCAAAGUCUUCUAAUGUCUGAGACAUCUUCCCUCCCCUCACACACUUCUGGCGUCCUCAGAAGCCAGCUGAUCCCGUAACCACCAAAGCAAAGAGAUAGGAGGACUCUUGCUGGUGACAUGCGUUCGAG